CUUCACCAAGCGGAGCAGCUCCGUCUCUGCGCCGCCGCCCUGAGAGCGGACGGCAUUGACCACUUAGAAUCUCCUUUGAGAGGAUCCAACCCGACGGCACGUUUCAACUACGCGUCCCGGUGUCGUACCGCUUUGGGCCGAGGACUCCGGCCCCUCACCGGGCUCCGACUGGGGCUCGAGUCCGGCCCCCCGGCCCCUCGGGCUCUCCUGUAGCGCUCGGCCUCCUGCCGGUAGCGGUCCCUCUCCUCCUCCAGGCUCUUGACGAAGGCAUCAAGACGCGACGGGGAGCGCUCCCUUCCACAAACGCCGUGCUUGGCCCGCAUGGACUCCAGCUCCAGGACCAACCGCAGUUUCUCCUCCUCCAGGAAGUUCACCAGUCCCUCCAUCUUCUCCUUCUGCUCUCUGAGGUCCAGCAGCUCAUCUCUGAGACGGUCUUUUUCGAAGUCGCCUUCGGACUGCUCCUGGAUUCCACCGUCAACAGCAGAUUAUGUUUUCAGCUUGUGCAACACCACCGUUCACUGGAGAAUGAGCAGAGGAACUAAGAAGGUUUCCCCCUACACACCCGUCUCAGUGUUGAGAUGAUUUCCUCCAGGUCCUCGAUGGUUCUCUGUUGCCUUUGAAUCGCUUUCUGUUGAGCUCCACGUCGGCGGCCUCCAGCACGUGCUCCUUGUCCGUCUCCAGCCGCUGGGCCAAGUCGUCCACGUGCGUCAGCUCCUCGCACAGCUCCAGGUUCUUCAAGGACAGAUUGGCCACUUCGGUGGAGGCGUCCUCCUUUUUCUGCUGCAGCGCGUCGACCUUCUGAUCCAGAGUCCUGUUGGUCUCCUGC
ensembl:lncRNA